rnacentral:antisense_RNA from 1 species
GGGGGAGAAUGGGCAUCCCACCCCAGCACUUUCUAGGAAGGAGGGCAGCAUUUUGAAGGGCUGGAAGUAGAGGAAGGAGGUUGCGGGUAGAAGACUCCAUACUUUCUGUGAUGCCUAUUCCUUAGCUUGAGAUGAAUGUUUUCUCAGUAUCCUAUGCUGAAAACAGGUAGAUACUAAUAUCGAUCUUCAAGGGAGGGCUGUUGAGUUUUGAAUAAGACAAAAACAUGGAAGCAAUCAGCACCAUGCUGGAGAGCCUUUAUAUAACCAAAGAUAUUUUUGGACCAUGAAUUCGGAAAUUCUCGGAGCCACCCAUCAGUGCCUGAGCUUCAGUGAGUCCAUAUCCCAUGUCACCCACGGCAAAGGAGAAUCUAAGACUUCUGAAGAGUUUCUUGCUUCUUUCCUGUGGGGCAGUGACUCCACUUCCCAGCAGUAAUGGAAUAUCCUGAAUUAGCUACAUUAAUGUUAGAACCAUUUGGACCUCACCCAGGACUUCAACUACAUUAUGCUAAAGUUACAGAACCCAAAUUUGGCAACUGUCUGCAUCUGAACAACAGAAGUUUCAACAUUCUGCCAACAGAGUAACUCCUGGACGAUUGGCACAGAAGGCACAAGGUUCUAGUAUGUUAGGUUUAUGUUCCCCUGCUUUCUACAAUCCUGUUCAAAGAGUUGCUGACUUAACCACAGAGAGGAUUCCAGAACAUGAGACACAGAAUAAACUUGAGCAAUCAUAGUCCAUCCACUUCAUUUUCUCAUCAAAAACCAAAGGUCCAGUGAAGCUCUGGAACUCAACGCUGUAAAGGAGCGAAGGAGCUUCUAUACAGAGCCUGGAUGCCUGUCUCCUUAUCCUA